AGGCUGUGAAGACUUAAUUUUAUACCAUCAAACUAUGAAAGCUCUAUGAGGCUUGUUGAUGUUACUAUAAAUCAUUGCUGAGCCU